CACUACACACAUUAUCAGUGAAUGUGGCAGCCAUUCCGAGAUGUUUGCUUUAAAUUAUGUUAAAAUAGUAAUGUGAAAACACAAUAUAUUGGAAGUUAUAGGAGGAUUUAUUCCCUGGUACCUAGUCACCUGAUCACGUUGCUGUUUUUAACGCGACAAGUAGUUUUAACAGCGCUGUCUUGUUUUUGACAUGAUAGUGCCCUAAUGAAAUCUGAAGAGACCGAAACAUGUGGAAAUCUGAAGCUGUAAGGACUGAAACGGGUCAAGCAUGGUGAUCGGCACAACACUUACAAGGCGGAGCUCUCAAGUUUGUAUUCAGC